GGAAGACCCUUUGAUCACAGCUUGUCAGUGAUGCACAAAUGCCAGCCUUGGAACAGAAGUUGUGGCAGCACUGGGGUGCCAGGAUGCUGGAGCCAGGACUGCCAGAGAUCUUUUACCUGUCCAUAGCCAGAUGUUCUGGACAGCAGAAAGCCACAUUGGGCUAGAGACUGAGGAAGAGAGAACAGGAUCAGAAAAAAAAAGCCAGGAGAACAGGGAGAUAACAGAGCUCAACUGUGACUGUCAUCCAAGAGAAGAAAGAGGAAGGUGCAGCCCAGACCAACAGCAAAACAGUACUCAAUAUGCAAAUCCAUACAUUUCCUAAAAAGCCUCUUCAAAUAUCGAAUCUCCUUCCUUCUCCAUCUGGUACAACUGGAAGAGUUUUAAGGCAGCGAGGUAAUAGGAACAGCACACUCUGGCAGUAAAAGUACUGAUAUAGCAAAUUAAAAGGGGUAUUGACUCUCACAGUGUCUCUGAAAGCCUCCUCUGCACUUUUCUGUGUGUAAAGCAUUGUUGAUGUGCUGUGUUCAAAAUCAAAUAUUGCAGAUGAAACCAGAAAGUUACCUUUGG